CUCCCAUGAUGAUCCAGCCAUGCUAAUACUGAUGCAUCAGGCAGAUGCAGUUCAUCUGUCGGGGUGCAAGUGCGUUCUACUGAACUUCUCACGCUGAUGGUUUCAGUGUGUGCUGAGGAGA
ensembl:snoRNA